ensembl:lncRNA
GUUCACGCUUACAGACACCUACAGUAUGUGCCUUUAUGCGUCAGUUUGGACAUAUUCUGCACUUUAUUGCUAGUGAUUUGUCUGGAAAAUGCUCAAAGACUUACAGAAUAUAAUAUAAUAUAACUAUUGCAUUAUAUUCCAGGAGUCCAAUUCUUAUUUAGAUAGGCCUUGAUUUUUUUGUUGAUAUGCAGGGAGAACGACCAUGGCUUUGGUUUGUUCCAAAUCAUUGAUUAGUUAUACUUCAGUAACAGAGUCCCUUUCACUCAUCGAGGGUUGAUCGACUGAUAUAACAGCAUUACAGAAUUUAAACUGAACUGAAAAUGUAUUGGGGAUGCAUGAGAUGGACUAUGAUUGAGUUGCAACAGGAGAGAGCAGUUCACAACAAGGUAUAAUGUAGAGGUCUAAUGUUCAGGGGAACCUUAAGAUCAAGGUAUAAUGUAGAGAUCUAAUGUCCCCCUGUACGUUUAUAUCAAGGUAUAAUGUGGAGGCCUAACUCUUACAUAGACAACCCACUUUUUUAUAAACUAUUCACAGCAGCUUUCCCUUGAUAUUACCACAGCACUGUCCAGAAUGAACGGUGGGCGGGUGUGGGAUGGUCACCCAAUACCGCAUCCAGAUCUGAAUCAACUGGACACCGGGUUCUACCGCUCCCAUCCAGAUCUGAAUCAACUGGACACCGGGUUCUACCGCUCCCAUCCAGAUCUGAAUCAACUGGACACCGGGUUCUUCCGUUCCCAUCCAGAUCUGAAUCAACUGGACACUGGGUUCGUCCGGUUUUUAAUGAAGACCAAGAUCUUAUUUCUGUAUGAAUUGUAGCGGUAUCGUUGUCCAUAAUUGUGGUGCUUUCAAGACAACUGGGAACUGGAAAAAAAACAAGGUCAAAUAAUGACGUCAGUGAUCUUCAGGUUGGAAAGUCGGAGCUCUAGAAAGAUGGUCGAGUUUCCAACUUGGAAUUCCGAGUUGGAUGACCGUUCGAAACAAUUUUUUUCCCAGUUGAAGCUCCAAGUUGUCUUGAACGCACUGACGUCGGAAGCCGGAGAUAUCCAAGUUCCCGAAUUCCGAGUUCCCAGUUGUUUUGAAUGCGGCAUUACUACCUCAACUGGCCGGUGUGACUUAUUUGAGAGGACCAAAUGUAUACGCU